rnacentral:rRNA from 5 species
GGGUUGUGAGGUUAAGCGACUAAGCGUACACGGUGGAUGCCCUGGCAGUCAGAGGCGAUGAAGGGCGUGCUAAUCUGCGAUAAGCGCCGGUAAGGUGAUAUGAACCGUUAUAACCGGCGAUACCCGAAUGGGGAAACCCAGUGUGACUCGUCACACUAUCAUUAACUGAAUCCAUAGGUUAAUGAGGCGAACCGGGGGAACUGAAACAUCUAAGUACCCCGAGGAAAAGAAAUCAACCGAGAUUCCCCCAGUAGCGGCGAGCGAACGGGGAGGAGCCCAGAGCCUGAAUCAGCAUGUGUGUUAGUGGAAGCGUCUGGAAAGGCGCGCGAUACAGGGUGACAGCCCCGUACACAAAAGCGCAUGUGCUGUGAGCUCGAUGAGUAGGGCGGGACACGUGGUAUCCUGUCUGAAUAUGGGGGGACCAUCCUCCAAGGCUAAAUACUCCUGACUGACCGAUAGUGAACCAGUACCGUGAGGGAAAGGCGAAAAGAACCCCGGCGAGGGGAGUGAAAAAGAACCUGAAACCGUGUACGUACAAGCAGUGGGAGCACCCUUUGGGUGUGACUGCGUACCUUUUGUAUAAUGGGUCAGCGACUUAUAUUCUGUAGCAAGGUUAACCGAAUAGGGGAGCCGGAGGGAAACCGAGUCUUAAUUGGGCGUUAAGUUGCAGGGUAUAGACCCGAAACCCGGUGAUCUAGCCAUGGGCAGGUUGAAGGUUGGGUAACACUAACUGGAGGACCGAACCGACUAAUGUUGAAAAAUUAGCGGAUGACCUGUGGCUGGGGGUGAAAGGCCAAUCAAACCGGGAGAUAGCUGGUUCUCCCCGAAAGCUAUUUAGGUAGCGCCUCGUGAAUUCAUCUCCGGGGGUAGAGCACUGUUUCGGCUAGGGGGCCAUCCCGGCUUACCAACCCGAUGCAAACUGCGAAUACCGGAGAAUGUUAUCACGGGAGACACACGGCGGGUGCUAACGUCCGUCGUGAAGAGGGAAACAACCCAGACCGCCAGCUAAGGUCCCAAAGUCAUGGUUAAGUGGGAAACGAUGUGGGAAGGCCCAGACAGCCAGGAUGUUGGCUUAGAAGCAGCCAUCAUUUAAAGAAAGCGUAAUAGCUCACUGGUCGAGUCGGCCUGCGCGGAAGAUGUAACGGGGCUAAACCAUGCACCGAAGCUGCGGCAGCGACACUGUGUGUUGUUGGGUAGGGGAGCGUUCUGUAAGCCUGUGAAGGUGUGUCGUGAGGCAUGCUGGAGGUAUCAGAAGUGCGAAUGCUGACAUAAGUAACGAUAAAGCGGGUGAAAAGCCCGCUCGCCGGAAGACCAAGGGUUCCUGUCCAACGUUAAUCGGGGCAGGGUGAGUCGACCCCUAAGGCGAGGCCGAAAGGCGUAGUCGAUGGGAAACGGGUUAAUAUUCCCGUACUUGGUGUUACUGCGAAGGGGGGACGGAGAAGGCUAUGUUGGCCGGGCGACGGUUGUCCCGGUUUAAGUGUGUAGGUGUGUGUUCCAGGUAAAUCCGGUUCACUUUAACACUGAGGCGUGACGACGAGGCACUACGGUGCUGAAGCAACAAAUGCCCUGCUUCCAGGAAAAGCCUCUAAGCAUCAGGUAACAUCAAAUCGUACCCCAAACCGACACAGGUGGUCAGGUAGAGAAUACCAAGGCGCUUGAGAGAACUCGGGUGAAGGAACUAGGCAAAAUGGUGCCGUAACUUCGGGAGAAGGCACGCUGACACGUAGGUGAAGUGAUUUACUCAUGGAGCUGAAGUCAGUCGAAGAUACCAGCUGGCUGCAACUGUUUAUUAAAAACACAGCACUGUGCAAACACGAAAGUGGACGUAUACGGUGUGACGCCUGCCCGGUGCCGGAAGGUUAAUUGAUGGGGUCAGCGCAAGCGAAGCUCCUGAUCGAAGCCCCGGUAAACGGCGGCCGUAACUAUAACGGUCCUAAGGUAGCGAAAUUCCUUGUCGGGUAAGUUCCGACCUGCACGAAUGGCGUAAUGAUGGCCAGGCUGUCUCCACCCGAGACUCAGUGAAAUUGAACUCGCUGUGAAGAUGCAGUGUACCCGCGGCAAGACGGAAAGACCCCGUGAACCUUUACUAUAGCUUGACACUGAACAUUGAGCCUUGAUGUGUAGGAUAGGUGGGAGGCUUUGAAGUGUGGACGCCAGUCUGCAUGGAGCCGACCUUGAAAUACCACCCUUUAAUGUUUGAUGUUCUAACGUGGACCCGUUACCCGGGUUGCGGACAGUGUCUGGUGGGUAGUUUGACUGGGGCGGUCUCCUCCUAAAGAGUAACGGAGGAGCACGAAGGUUGGCUAAUCCUGGUCGGACAUCAGGAGGUUAGUGCAAUGGCAUAAGCCAGCUUGACUGCGAGCGUGACGGCGCGAGCAGGUGCGAAAGCAGGUCAUAGUGAUCCGGUGGUUCUGAAUGGAAGGGCCAUCGCUCAACGGAUAAAAGGUACUCCGGGGAUAACAGGCUGAUACCGCCCAAGAGUUCAUAUCGACGGCGGUGUUUGGCACCUCGAUGUCGGCUCAUCACAUCCUGGGGCUGAAGUAGGUCCCAAGGGUAUGGCUGUUCGCCAUUUAAAGUGGUACGCGAGCUGGGUUUAGAACGUCGUGAGACAGUUCGGUCCCUAUCUGCCGUGGGCGCUGGAGAACUGAGGGGGGCUGCUCCUAGUACGAGAGGACCGGAGUGGACGCAUCACUGGUGUUCGGGUUGUCAUGCCAAUGGCACUGCCCGGUAGCUAAAUGCGGAAGAGAUAAGUGCUGAAAGCAUCUAAGCACGAAACUUGCCCCGAGAUGAGUUCUCCCUGAGACUUAAAGUCUCCUGAAGGAACGUUGAAGACGACGACGUUGAUAGGCCGGGUGUGUAAGCGCAGCGAUGCGUUGAGCUAACCGGUACUAAUGAACCGUGAGGCUUAACCUUACAACGCCGAAG